UACAGAGGGGGCAAGCGUUGUUCGGAAUUACUGGGCGUAAAGGGCGCGUAGGCGGCCUGUUAAGUCGAACGUGAAAUCCCCGGGCUCAACCCGGGAACUGCGUCCGAUACUGGCAGGCUUGAAUCCGGGAGAGGGAUGCGGAAUUCCAGGUGUAGCGGUGAAAUGCGUAGAUAUCUGGAGGAACACCGGUGGCGAAGGCGCAUCCUGGACCGGCAUUGACGCUGAGGCGCGAAAGCCAGGGGAGCAA
rnacentral:rRNA from 1 species